AUGUGUGUGCCUGUCUAAAACCUCAUAGUAUUAUUUUAAAAUGUAUUUAAUAAUUAUAAGUUCGUGUUUUUUACUAGUUCGUGGACAGGAGACUUACGAGCUAAACAUAUUACAUUACAAUGAUUUCCAUGCAAGAUUUGUAGAAACAAGUCCGUGGGGGACUGUCUGUAACCCGGAAGCAGCUCCAUGUAUAGGAGGUUUCGCGCGCCUGACAACGGCGGUACGCGAUGGCUUGGAAAGAGAACCUCAUUCUCUGGUCCUGAAUGCUGGUGACAGUUUCCAGGGUACUAUUUGGUACAAUAUAUUGAGAUGGAAUGUAACACAAGAUUUUAUGAAUAUGUUCCAUCAUGACGCGCAUGUACUAGGUAACCAUGAAUUUGACAAUGGCAUUGAAGGAGUGGUGCCCUACUUGCAGCAUUUAGAAGCACCGAUGGUUACCGCUAAUAUCAUUGAUGAUGAUGAGCCUUCAAUACAGGGUUUGUACCAGCCCAGUAUAAUUGUGGAAAAGAAUGGAAGGAGAAUUGGGAUCAUUGGCGUCAUAAUAGCUUCUACUAAUGUUCUUGCUUCUACCGGAAGGCUGCGUUUUACAGACGAAGUCGAGGUAGUGAGACAAGAAGCUGAGAAACUGCACGAACAAGGCAUUGACAUUAUUGUAGUGCUGUCGCAUUGUGGCAUAGAAAUUGACAGAGAAAUAGCACUCCACGGUGGUCCCUACAUAGACAUCAUCGUUGGUGGCCAUAGUCACACGUUGUUGUAUAACGAAGAUCCUCCGGAAAAUAGCGCCUUCGUCCCCGAAGGACCUUAUCCUGUGGUAGUCGAACAAGAGACAAGACAGGUAUUGAUAGUACAAGCAGCGGCGCACACUCAGUAUUUGGGAGAAAUCAAAUUGUUCUUUGACGACGCUGGGAAUCUUCUCAAUUGGGAAGGGAAUCCGCACUACCUGGGAAAUGAAAUAACGCAAGCACCGGAUGUUUUGGAGAAAAUAGCUUAUUAUCUCCCCCAGGUAGAUGAGUUGGCCCGGCAAGAAGUGGGGUCAUCCAUGGUCCAUCUUAGUGCCAGCUGUGCUUGCGGCGAGUGCAAUCUGGGCAGUUUUAUCUGUGACGCCUUUAUGCAUGCUGCUUUGCCAUUAGCCACGGAGGGUAACUGGAAUUACGCACAUUUCUGCGUCAUCAACCAAGGCGGGAUACGAGUAGACAUUGAGCCAGGAACAAUAACAUUCGAAGCUAUGCUUCUAUCGACUCCGUUUGAGAAUAACGUGGAAGUUUUCCAGUUAAGAGGCGACCAUAUUAUGGAAAUGCUAGAGUUUUCAGUCGCCAAUGAUCCUUAUAACGGGGCGAGGAUGCUUCAAGUUUCAGGCAUUCAAACAGUGUUUGACGGGUCCCGGCCCAUGGGCAGCCGACUUGUCAGCGCGUCCGUCCGCUGUGUAGAUUGUGCCGUCCCUUGAUAUGAGCCCCUAGUCCCGGGAAACUAUUACAGGGUUAUCACCUCCGACUUUAUAGGAGCAGGUGGAGGGAAUUUCACAAUGAUUUCUGAGAACCGCUUUGACGUUGAAGUCAUAGGAGUGGACUACGAUCUGUUGCAAGAUUACAUAAGGCACCAGUCGCCGAUUUUCAAGGACGUCGACGGUCGUGUAGAAAUAUCCAACCCUUGCAGUGACUAGAAAUAAAAAUAUUACAAUAAGUACA